CGCUAACUUGGCAUAGUGGUUUGUGUGUUGGACUGCGAUGCUGGAGACCAGGGUUCAAUUCUCAGCUCAGCCA